CCUGCGCUGUAUGCUUCCUUUCGUUCGUUUCCGUUUCUUGCGCAGGUUGCGUUGAGCUGGAAAGAGGUCUUAACGCUGUGCUGGAGAAGAGUCUCCAGAGGGCUUGUGCACUGGACUGGCCUUUGUCUUCUGCUGAGGAAAGAAAACAGAUAGGCAUGGCCCAUCCUUUGAGGGGAAGUGGAGGAAUGGGUAGCACUGACCCAUGUAAUAAGCUGCUGCUUGGUGAACUAGAAAAGCCAGCAUUGGCUCCAUUUGCGCUUGUUCUGGUGAAAAGAUAAUCUGACAGAAGCUGCCUUCUUACCACAGCCUGUUCAGAGCACAGGUCUCAUAUGAAACCAUUCUACAGCUGAAGCAAAUGGAAUACAGGUGUCCUUUUGCAGCAGAGAAGGUUCCCUGCAAGCUGUUUUGCAAGGAGACCUAUCACUGGCACCAGUAAGAUGUGGAGGGGAAAUGGAUGUUAAUGUGCCAGCUCAUGGUAUACCUCCUGUUUGCGUGGAUGUUCUUUGCUCUACUAUUUCCCAAACUGCAGUGAAGUGCAGCAGAUUCUGAACAGCGCUACAGCUGAGCCACAUAGCAAAGAGCCCCGUUUCCCUGAAUUGGACUGUAUGUCUCUGCUGGCCACUUCAGCAAAGAUUUCAGAGGCUCCUCAGGAGUUGAGGCUGUCUACCAAGAAGCUUCCGGAAUGCUAUGUACAUGUUUUGCAACUGAUUUGAUGACUAUGUGGAAUUAAAGGACUU